rnacentral:rRNA from 1 species
UACGUAGGGUGCUAGCGUUGUCCGGAAUCAUUGGGCGUAAAGAGCGUGUAGGCGGCUUGGUACGUCCGCUGUGAAAGUUCAGGGCUCAACCCUGGAAUGCCAGUGGAUACUGUCAAGCUAGAGUCCGGAAGAGGCGAGUGGAAUUCCUGGUGUAGCGGUGAAAUGCGCAGAUAUCAGGAGGAACACCGAUGGCGAAGGCAGCUCGCUGGGACGGUACUGACGCUGAGACGCGAAAGCGUGGGGAGCAAACAGG